rnacentral:rRNA from 1 species
AGAUUGAACGCUGGCGGCAGGCCUAACACAUGCAAGUCGAGCGGUAGAGAGGUGCUUGCAUCUCUUGAGAGCGGCGGACGGGUGAGUAAUGCCUAGGAAUCUGCCGUAGUGGUGGGGGAUAACGUUCGGAAACGGACGCUAAUACCGCAUACGUCCGUACGGGAGAAAGCGGGGGACCUUCGGGCCUCGCGCCAUUAGAUGAGCCUAGGUCGGAUUAGCUUAGUUGGUGAGGUAAUGGCUCACCAAGGCGACGAUCCGUAACUGGUCUGAGAGGAUGAUCAGUCACACUGGAACUG